UGUAACCUGUACACAUAUUUCUCCUUAGUGAGUUAUAGCAGCACAUAGGGUUCCGCCACCGCCGUGGAAUCCGAAGCUGGAUAAACCUUGUGUGCAACUCCGUCACCGGAACCCCACGUUCUUCCCCACGCUCUGUUCAUCGGCCAAUGGCAUCCUAUCUUAGAACCGCUAUUCUGAUAUUUCAACGACCCACAUAAAGAAUUUUCCUUCGGUGGACGCCAACUGCCCCAUAGCAGUUAGCAACCAUCUGAAUUUGUCAGACUCGGUAGAUAAUUUGGGAACCUCCUGGAUUCAACUAAUAUAUAGGUAAGCACCAAAUGUCCAAAUUAUUAGUUGAUUCAUGCUGCCCCCAAAUUGGUGUGUAUAUAGUGUGUCGGAGCUAAAUUAAUAUCUGCAUAACGCGGCCAGUUCGAUGGCUCUUGUACGUGCUGCAUGCUUGCUGGGUACUUUGUAUGUACUCACUGCGUUUCGAAUUAUAACGUAUAUGAGUAUA